rnacentral:lncRNA from 1 species
AUGCCAUUAUCUAUAGCAACAACGAGGAUUUCCAGGUUGGCCAAGCCAAGGUGGUCCUGAAGAGCAAGGACGACCAAGUGACGGUGAUCGGGGCUGGCGUAACUCUGCACGAGGCUCUGGCUGCUGCAGAGAUGUUGAAGAAAGAGAAGAUCGGCGUCCGUGUACUGGACCCCUUCACCAUCAAGCCCCUGGACAAAAAGCUCAUUCUCGACUGUGCCAGAGCAACCAAAGGCAGGAUCCUCACCGUGGAGGACCACUACUAUGAAGGUAACUGGAGCUGCACCCGACUAGCUAGGGAAGAUGAGGGGCCGGGGAGCCAAGCGGCAGACUGACUUUAAAUUCCUCCGAGGACAGUCCGCCUUUGCCACUCACGGCACUGGCAGGGGCUCAUGGGGUGGAGCAGCCAGCAACCAUGAGUUAGCUGAGUCCCUAAGCCAAAGCCUAAAGCCUCAGAGGAGGCCAGGUCUCAGCUGUGCUGUGAAGGCUCGGGGUUCUCUAACUACAGCUGAGUUCCUGGGCCUUAAUUAGAUAAGGAGGUAAAGUAGAUGUCUGGGCAGAGCAAACAGGAAAAGCAAGGUUGAGUGUCCGAGUCCUCUAGGGUACAUCCCAUUUUUACAGAAGCCUCUGAGGAAGAGAUGAGCUGAGACUCUAAGGGGGAGUGCACAACUUGUGGGAGUCAAGCUGACCGCCACCUGUACCAUACAUACAUGGUGCGCACACACACUAAAUAAAGAAGUGUUCGAAGCAUUAACUGAAGGGGCAGGAAGGACUUCACAUUCUUCCAGAGACCCCUGUUCAAUCCCUAGCACCCACACAGCAGUUCACAACCAUCUAUAGCUCCCCAGUGUCCUCUUCCUGCCUCUGAGGGCCUGGGGCAAGCAUGUGGUUCACAGACGUGCAGGCAAAACACUGGUACACAUU